rnacentral:lncRNA from 1 species
GGUCAUCAAUUUAAAAAAUUAUUUUUGAAAUGAUUGACUUAAAUGUUAUCAAUAAAUAAUUUGUAAACUAAUUUUGUCAACCUAAUUUGUACACAUAGCAUGAUUCGUAUAUUUCUUACUUUAACAUAGCAUGUAUAUUUAUCACUUUACGCUAAAUUGAAUUGAGUAAUGCUAUUAAUUACUUUGACAUAACAUGUAUAUUUGUCAAUGUUAGGAUCUUCCUCAAACUGCUCAAAGUGAUUUCCGGGCUCAGUUAACCAUUAAACAUCGAAUUCAACACCAAAACCGAGAUGACCGACCGUCGGCGCCAUUGUCUUCCUAUGGUUGUUAUUGCUCUUUUGCUUGUUGAUUCUACCACACACUUAGGAUGGAUACCACACAGGUAAGAGUCACAAAGCCUCAAGCAAUUGGUAGGGAAGAUUAAUUGACAGGAUGCAUGAAGGAUAAGAAGAAGAAGAAUGCCUCUCUCUCUCGAGUUCUCUCACGCACGGCACAAAGGAGGAGGAGAGAAUUACCAAUAUAUAAAUUAGUCCAAUGACCACUUAAGGUAAGUCACAAUAUGGUAAGUAGGCUCGACUAGGGUUAAGUCCCAAUAGCACACCAACAAGCCACAAAGAUUAUUAGACAUCCAAUAGGUAAAGCAACGCUAGGUCGGUUAAUCCAUUAUUCGGUGUUGAUUUAUCGUUCAGUCAUUCAUGUCGACUGAUAAAAUUGGUUUUCAUCAUCGCCCGGGAGGUCGUUUGAUAACAUGAUGUCUAACAACCUCCAUCUUGGUAUCAAAGGACCUGCAAAGAAAAACGUUUUCCAUUAGUGACACCUCUAACAGAAAACCGAUAAAAUUGGAAAUCAUUUACCUGUACCGAUGUUUAGAAGCUCCUUGCAACUUUUAAACUUUACCAGUGGCAGCACUUUCGUGCCCAUAUCUAAAGGAUUAUAUUGUGUAUGAAUUUUUUCAAGUCUUACUACUUCUUGUGAUAUUAUAUCCCUAAUGAAGUGUAACCUAACAUCGAUAUGUUUAGUGCGUUCGUGAAAAACAGGAUUCUUACACAGAUGUAUGGAUGCUAACUAUCAGAGUACACAACCACAUACUCAUUCAAGACACUCAGUUCAUGAAGUAGACCUUUAAGCCAUAGAGCCUCUUUAAUUGCUUCAGUGGUGACAAUAUAUUUUGACUCGGUAGUGGAUAGUGCAACUAUGUGUUGUAACUGUGAUUUCCAACUAACACAUGAAUUUGAUAAGGUGAAUACGUAAGAGGAAGUUGAUUUUCUACCAUCCCUAUCUCCUGCAUAGUCAGCAUCUACAAAACCCAUUAAUUUCACGCCUCCUUAUUAGCACUAAAUUUUAGACCUACGUCACUUGUACCCUUCAAAUAUCUUAAAAGCUACUUUAAUGCUUCCCAAUGUUCAGGACCUGGAUUAGACAUGUACCUAAUGAGAGUACUAACGGCGAAUCCUAAGUCCGGUCUAGUGCAAACCAUCAAAUACAUUAUGGAACCAAUCACAUUUGAGUAUGGAAUUUUACUCAUGUAUUCCACUUCACAUUCAUUGCAAGGAGUUUGUUCUUUAGAUAGAACAAAAUGGUUUGCAAGAGGCAACGUGACAGGUUUGCAGUCACUCAUAUUAAACAUUUUCAACACCUUUGAUAUAUAUGGAGACUGAUGCAAGAAUACGAUGGAAUUUGACCUAUUUCGUUCUAUUUUCAUGCCUAGAAUCCUUUUAGCCUUUCCUAGGUCUUUCAUGUCAAAUUUUUCACUAAGAUCUGCUUUUUUAUUAUUUAUCCACUUAGGAGAUGAUCCAACUAAAAGCAUGUCAUCCACAUAGAGCAACAAGAACAAAUAAUUGUUAUCAAUCUCGUUGUGUUGAAAGUAUAGGCAGUGAUCGAAUUUACUUCUUUGAAAUCCUAUAGUGAGUACAAAGGAAUCAAACCUCUUGUACCACUGUCUAGGUGAUUGCUUUAGACCGUAUAGGGAUCUUUUCAGAAAACACACAUAAUCAGAUUUUAACUUGUCUUUAAAACCUUUUGGUUGAUUCAUAAAGAUUUGUUCAUCAAACUCUCCAUGUAAAAAAGCGGUUUUUACAUCGAGUUGUUCAAGUUCCCAGUCAAAGAGCGCAACCAAUGUGAGCAUGACCCUAAUAGUAGUGUACUUGACAACUGGUGAGAAAAUUUCGUUAUAAUCAACACCUUCUUUCUGUGUUUAACCCUUCGCUACUAACCUAGCCUUAAAUCUUAAGGGUUCUGUACUACUAGUACCUUCCUUAACCUUAAAGACCCACUUGCAAUCAACGAUUGAUUUAUUCUUAGGUCUCAGUACUAACUCCCAAGUUUGAUUCUUUUCUAGAGAACUCGUCUCUUCUUUCAUAGCCUUAAGCCACUCCUUAGAUUGACCACUAUUCAUAGCCUCUUCAAAAGUUUUCGGCUCCCUAUCAACUAGUUCUUCGUAACUAGCGUAUGCAAAAUCCAAUUCAGAUUCAUACCCGAACCUCCUAGGUUUUCUCGUUUGUCUUCUCUCUCUAUCUCUAACUAAAUUAUAGUUAGCUAAUAGAUUUUCUUCCUCAGGAUGCUCUUCUAUCACUGCUUCAUUUUCCUCUUCAGGUUCUUGGACCUGAAUCUCCACCUCACUCGAAGUACUAGGUAUUGUUGUGUUAAAUUUUCUUAACUCCACAUUAAACCGAUUUCUUUCUUCACUUGAUUCAGUUUCACUUACAGGUUCGAUUUCGUUCUUUAGACAAGGCAUCUCACUCUCAUUAAAUGUGACAUCCCUACUCACGAUGAUCUCAACUCCUUUUUGGCUUCUAUCCCAUAGCCUAUAGCCCUUAACCCAUUUGGGAUAUCUUAGAAAGACACACUUCCUGGUUCUAGGUUCUAACUUUCCCUCACUUUGAUGAGAAAAGGCAGCACAGCCAAACGAUUUAAGCAUUGAGUAGUCACCCAAUUUUCCAAACCAUUUCUCAUGUGGAGUAUCACCAUUUAAUGCAGCCGAUGGAGUCAAGUUUAUCAGAUAACAGGCAGUUACAACGGCUUCACCCCAAAAUAACUUAGGAACCCCAGAACUUAACAUCAUGCAGCGCACUUUGUUUACUAUGGUCCUAUUCAUUCUUUCUGCUACCCCAUUUUGCUGGGGAGUAUAAGGAACCGUUUUGUGCCUUGUUAUUCCACUUUCUUUACACAUCCUAUCGAAUUCAGCAUUACAGAAUUCUAGGCCGUUAUCUGUCCUUAAAAAUUUGAUCCUCUUGCUAGUUUGGUUUUCCAUUUGUUUCUUCCAGUUGUUAAAGUUAUGGAAGGUUUCAGUUUUAUCUUUCAAUAGAUAGACCCACACUUUCCUGGUGUAGUCAUCUAUGAUAGAUAGGAAAUACAUAUUCCCACCCGAUGUGAGAUUACUAGCAGGACCCCAUAGAUCAGAAUGCACAUAUUCAAGCAUGCUUUUAGCCUUAUGCGUACUAGUGGAGAACGACAAUCUAUGGUGCUUUCUGAGCACACAGUGAUCACAGAAUGAUAGGUCAGACACACAGUCAUUACCAAAUGCACAUUUUUCAUUAAGUAGUUUAAGUCCUUUAAUACUUACGUGUGCAAGCCUACUAUGCCACGUAUGUGUGUGAUCGAUUUUGGCGGAAAAAAUAGAGGAGUUUAAUCCUCUAAUCAUUUCCCCAGUAGUGAUGUAAAUGUCGUUUUUCUUGAUUCCCUUAAUAGAGAUUAACACACCCUUCAUCAUUUUAAACAUACCAUUUUCAAUUUUACCGAUGAAGUUGUCUUUCUCAAGUCUUCCUACUGAAAUUAAAUUCCUAGAUAAUUCAGGAAUGUAUCUAACUUCCUUUAACAUGUACACAAAGCCUAUGUUAAAUUUUAUCUUUAUAUCUCCAAUUCCAGCAAUUGUAUAGGCAAAGUUAUUACACAGAACAACUUGCCCAUCAUUAGAUUCUUGCAAGUUUUCAAACCAGUUCUUUUCAGACGUCGCAUGAAUAGACGCACCAGAAUCUAAUAUCCAUUCAUGCAUGUGAGAAUUAGUAGUUAGAUUUAAUUCAGUAGUGUAUGCGACUGGACUAGUGAUCAUAUAGAUUUCACCGUUUUCGGUAUCGGAGGUAGAGGAUAACACAUUUAGCUCAUCUCUUUUCUUAACCUUUUGUUUUCCCUUUUCUUUAUGACAGUCUUUUAUAAAAUGCCCUGUGCCUCCACAGCCAUAGCAUUUUCUAGCCUUAGUUUUAGACUUUGACCUAGGUCUACCAUUUUCUUUCUUUUUCCAACUAUUACUACUUGAUUCGCCACUACUUUGGUAUCCAUCAUGACUGGCUUGCCUAAAUUGAGUUCUACCCCGCAUCAUAUGCAACUCUCCACACCUCCUAUCCUGUUUUUCAGCCCUCAUUUCCAUCUCCUUACUCCUAAGAGAAUCUACGACAAUUUCAGGUGUUAACGUGUCCCUACCAUACUUAAUGGCAUUUUUAACUUCUUUAUAAGAGUCCGGGAUUGAAUUGAGCAAGAUAAUGGCCUUAUAGGUUUCAGACACGGCUUCGUCACAAUUGACAAUAUCUUGCACCAAUUUGUUAAAUACAUCUAAAUUGUCGUCGAGAUCCUUUGAAGGAUCCAUUUUAAAGCUGAAGAAUCGUUCGAGUAGGUAGAGUUUAUUCGGUGUAGAUUUAAGCAAGUAUAAGUCUUCUAGUCUUUUCCAAAGUUCUUUGGUGGUUUUUAGUUUUCCCACUUUUCUUAAGACAGCGUCAGACAAGUGUAAUAUUAUUGAGGUAUAGGCAAGCUCAUCGGCUUCCUCUUUUUGUUCUUUUGAGAUAGCAGGUGCAAAAUUGUCUUCCAUGGCUUUUGACACCUUUUGUUGGACUAAUAUGUCUCUUAUCUUUUGUUGCCAGAUAGAGAAGUCCCCUUUACCGUUAAAAAUUUUCAAAUCAAAAUUAUGUGUUGUCAUUGGUUAACACACUGGUUAAACCACAAGAAGUAGUAUUGGGAAGCGUGAUUAGAUAAUAACUUGUUAAUUCUUAACAAAAGUAACAAUUGACCUAAACGCUACGUCCACCAAGAAAUACCAAGCACUUUAAAUCAAAAGAACAAGCACUCAAUUAACGCAAGUAAUCCUAGUUCUAGCACAAGCAAUGGUUACCCCUUCACGGUAACCCCAAAACCUAACGAU